AAAAAAAUUGAAACGGAUUUUCCAAAUUGACACGGUCUCUUACCGGUUCCAGUGGUUUUCCCAUCUUUAUGCGCCUGAAAUUUGAAGCCAUUGACGAACAGCUCUUGCAGAAACUUCCAGUUCUUUGACACGGAAGUACAGAUUUCGGGCUGCUGAACCCUCAGUCGUUGAAAGAUCGUGAAUAAGAAUGCCCCGAGGGCUGUCGCUGACAUAAGGAUGAGGAAGAGGAAGAGGAAAAGCGAAGAAAAAAGAAGAGACCGAGAGACAGACGCCGAGGGAAAAGAGAAUAACUGGAAGGUCGACGACCAUUCGCUAACCAACGAAAUGUCUCAUCUCACCGUCGUUCUUUGACCCAAGAAAAAUAUUUUUCUUAUUCAUUUUCGCCCUGCUCCUUUGCUCUGUCGCAAGAUCAUGUUGUGCCUCGUAGACUCGGUCCUCAGUCGACCUCCUCUGAGAUUCGUAUAUGUACGUGUAGAAAUCUAUAAAUGUGUAUGAAAUGAAAUAUAAAUAUAUCUCUUGGGACAUACAAA